CCGGUUCACCCGCCGACCCAAUGACGAUCACCGCUGUGGAAAAUGGACGGAAGGACUGAUGCGUUCCUGACGUAAAUCCUCCGAACGCGGUGUGUCGUCGAGUGACUCCCGGAGCCGCCGCGUUAGCUCCCCGGUGCUGAAUCCGCUGGGCUGCGCGUCGGUAGCACGCACGGGAGUCCGUCCAAAGGUGGAAGCCAGGCAAAGCCCCCGGAAACAGGAGAAGGCCCCGGCUGGUCGGACGGACACACCAGGGGGCGAAGGGACAUCGCCGGUACGCUGUUUGGAUCCGAAUCAGCACGGUUAAAUAGAAUGUGGUACACGGCGUGCGUCACUCGACGAUACGUUCCCCGACAGCGCCUCUUUUUAACCGGGUCGGACCCUUGAGGAGCUCGGGCAUGGGACCGCAAGGAUUUAGCCACCGUCGAGCUAGCUAACGGGGGGGGGGGAGUGGGGUGCACGGAUAGCAACUUUUUUUCCCUUACUCGCUGAGUUUUUAUUAACCUAAACUGGGGAUAAUUAUGAGUGGUCGAGGAGUGCGUGUAGGCGAAUAGAAAUCAUUUUUAAUCAUUGUCUCGGCCUCGCUUUUGAAGAAAGGAAAGGGGUUGGGGGGCAGGCCUGUUAAAUGUUUCGAGGAGGCGCGAAGCUAAUCCGUUAGCCGCUCCAAGUUAGCUCCCCGUCCGUCCGCCGCAAAUGAAGGAGUACAAAGUGGUCGUGCUGGGCAGCGGCGGCGUCGGCAAGUCGGCGCUGACCGUCCAGUUCGUCACCGGCACCUUCAUCGAGAAGUACGACCCCACCAUCGAGGACUUCUACAGGAAGGAAAUCGAGGUGGACUCGUCGCCGUCGGUGCUGGAGAUCCUGGACACGGCGGGCACCGAGCAGUUCGCCUCCAUGCGAGACUUGUACAUCAAGAACGGCCAGGGGUUCAUCCUGGUCUACAGCUUGGUGAACCAGCAGUCUUUCCAGGACAUCCGACCCAUGCGAGACCAAAUAGUCCGAGUGAAGCGUUUUGAGAAGGUGCCGCUAAUCCUGGUGGGCAACAAGGUGGACCUGGAGUCAGAGCGCGAGGUGGCCGGCUCGGACGGCCGGGCCCUGGCCCAGGAGUGGGGCUGCCCCUUCAUCGAGACCUCGGCCAAGAGCAAGACGAUGGUGGACGAGCUGUUCGCCGAGAUUGUGCGGCAGAUGAACUAUUCCACGCUGCCGGAGAAGCAGGAGCAGUGCUGCACCGCCUGCGUGGUACAGUGACCAAGAGAUGCAGCGUUUGUUUGGAUCAACAGAAGCAAACGGGAGGGGGAGACACUUUGAGACCAUCCCCACCACAGAAGGAUGUUUUUAAUGCCACUUUAAGAGCCUUGAAAGGGACACAGAGACUUGACACGGAGGAAACUACUCUUGGAUUUCAUUCUUCUUCCCCCACUCCCACCCUCGUUUUAGUGAGAAGUCUCCUUCAAGUGUAUGAAACAAGUGUUUGUGAGGAUGCAGCUCCUUUUUAAAGCUGCUUCAAUCACAGUUAUAGACUUUGACUUGUAUUAUGGAAAGUCGUCAGGGCAUUUAUUCCAUUGCCUUGAUAUCCAUCUUAAGGUCCGUGUGCUGGUACAAUCUUCGUCCUCACUCGUAAGAUCAUUCAGCACACAAGUAGAAGCGAUAGGCCGCAUUAUUAGAAUAACUACUGUUGGACCUGAAUAAGUUCAAUAGGUGAAAGUUCAUGAAGUCGUUUAUAAUUUGGGCCAACACGAACUGAACACUUUAUUUUUCUGCUUGAUGGAUGUUUGGAGAAUGUACUCUCUCUCUGUGGCAUCUCUAAGCGGUUUUUGAACGGCGGUUCGUUUUCAGUCCAUAGCGCGGCAGUUUCCCUUAAGCGGCGCAGCUUUCCAGUCGUGACGAAAUGCACGGUCCAAUUUACAUGCACGUCGCCUGAUUCAGCCAACGAAAUCUGCUUUUCAGGCGGGGAUCCGUGACCGCAUUCAGACUGAAAGUGGUGAAAGUUCAAUAAUUGAUAGAUCAAGGAAGAGAACAUUUGGAACAAAUAUACAAAAAUAAAAAAUUAUACAGUGAAAUAGAAUAGAUGGGCCUUUUUGGUGAGAGCACUUGUUAAUAGUGCAUAUGUGCAACACCAUUAUGAGACAGAACAAAGGUUUGGAGCAAAGAUAUCCUUUGAAGAAAUUUCAAUUAAGUUUGUCGUCGAAAUGUAAAACUGAGAAGCGGAAAAACUGUUUUUAUUUUUAUGAAGUUUAGCACUUAUUUGAACACACAAGUUUCACGGUUUAUGUGCUUUUGUUUUGAAUGCAGCCCUACUUAUGUUUAGUCCAUGAGACGAUACUACACAGUUAUGCUUCUAAUUAAGGAGAAUUUUUAAAUUGGCAUAUUUUUUUGUUUUAUGCCAUUUUUCAAACAAAACGACAUACGUCAAACACCUAAUUUUACUUUUAGUGGGUAUGCAGGCGUAAGGUAUUUCAGAAAAGAACAAGCAUGACAAAAAAACAGAAAAGAAUAUGGGCCUUAUUACAUCUAUCAUAUUUUGAGGAAAAGAAUACAUAUUUACGUGCGGAGAAACUAUUAGCUACUUCGUUUUUGGAGUGGUGAAGUUAUUUUAAAAAAGCUAACUCUUCAUUCGGUUCAUUUAAUAAUUUCUGAAUUCUCCCAACACUGACAACAACUGUCUUGCGAGCUUGCUCCCCCCACGCACACAGCUUAACUACUUUUCAAUUUUUUGUACACUAGUAGCACAACAUUGGCCAAUUCUUAGGAUGAUAGGUUACUAGUAAGGCAACACUGUGCUGGUAGACAUCUGCCUGAGACUGGAACUACAAGUGAACUGCAAGAUGUUAACUUGUACAAUUUUGUUGCUGGUAGUACUAGUAGCGUGCAUUUUGCCUAGUAGUUUUAAGACAGUAAAGCACACUAGUAGGAUAACAGUCUUACUGACAACACACAACUAUUCCUACUUUUGGCCUACUAGUAUGUAAUUAAACCUUACUAGCAAAUUACUCUACUCCACUAGUACCAAUACUAGGCCCAGGGAAGGUGGUAGUUGGAAAAACAUUACUAUCAAAACAGUUGUUCUCCCCCAAAAAAAGUAUUGACAACAAAUUAAAAAAAAAAAAACAAUUGUUCUACUAGUGCGCUAAAUUGUCUUCAUAGUAAGGGCAAAGAGUGUACUCGUACAUGGACCUUAAUAUAGAUAUAAUGGAUAUCAAAUAAAUGUUCAAAAAGGGUUUCCAUACAUCAGUGUUUUUGGAAUUUGAACAAUAUUUCAUAUUACGGCAACAUUUUUUAUUUGAAUUUUAAGCAUGCGCACUUAAGUUGCUCUUCUAGCUCACUGCUCAUUUUAUUUUUUUAUUUUUAUUAUUUUUUUUGUGAGGGGAUCUUAUUUCUGGAAAUGAUGACAGGAUGUUUGACUAUAUGGAACAAUUUUUUUAUUUUUAUUUUUUUUGCUGUUAAGGCCAUUGUUCAAUCGAUAAAUCUGCAUGCUCCAAAUUGAAAAUGUUUUACGCAGUCUUUUUGAGGUGAUUUAAAAAAGAGAAAAAAAAGAGCCAUGUUCCUGUAUCAAGGCCUGAAUUCUACGGCGCCUCGGAUACGCAAGCGCACGGAUCACGCCGACGACUAUCUUCCUCGUUCGCGUUUUCUCCCAACGUCUCUGAGACGGAUUGCGGAAGGACCAAAGCAAGCGCACACUUCUCCAUGGAGAUUUUGUUUUCAUCAUUUAAACAUGGGGAUUCAUUUUUUUUUUUUUUUGGUUGAUGUUUAUUCAAUAACUCCAGCUGCAACAUGUGAAGCAGAUUUAACAUUGCUUUCUGUAUUUUUUUUUAAUAGUAUAUUUAUUAAAAA